GAUGAACGCUGGCGGCGUGCCUAAUACAUGCAAGUCGAGCGAACAGACGAGGAGCUUGCUCCUCUGACGUUAGCGGCGGACGGGUGAGUAACACGUGGAUAACCUACCUAUAAGACUGGGAUAACUUCGGGAAACCGGAGCUAAUACCGGAUAAUAUAUUGAACCGCAUGGUUCAAUAGUGAAAGACGGUUUUGCUGUCACUUAUAGAUGGAUCCGCGCCGCAUUAGCUAGUUGGUAAGGUAACGGCUUACCAAGGCAACGAUGCGUAGCCGACCUGAGAGGGUGAUCGGCCACAAUAGAACUGAUACACGGUCCAAACUCCUACGGGAGGCAGCAGUAGGGAAUCUUCCGCAAUGGGCGAAAGCCUGACGGAGCAACGCCGCGGGAGUGAUGAAGGUCUUCGGAUCGUAAAACUCUGUUAUUAGGGAAGAACAAAUGUGUAAGUAACUAUGCACGUCUUGACGGUACCUAAUCAGAAAGCCACGGCUAACUACGUG
rnacentral:rRNA from 1 species